ACCAGACUUGGACCCGGUGAAUCAUCCAGCGUUCUCGCUGGUGCACUUUGCCGGGCUCAGGCCAGCAUCAGUUUGCCCCGGGGGAUAAAGGCCUUGGGAAUGUAGCUUCUUUCGGGGAGUGUUAUAGCCCUCGGUGCAAUGCCGCCUACCUGGACCGAGGACCGCGCUUCGGCUAGGAUGCUGGCGUAAUGGUUGUAAGCGA
rnacentral:rRNA from 1 species